GACGAACGCUGGCGGCGUGCUUAACACCUGCAAGUCGAACGAAGUGGCGAACGGGUGAGUAACGCGUAAUCAACCUGCCCUUCAGAGGGGGACAACCUUUGUAAACGACUGCUACUACCUCAUACUGAAGGAGGGGAUUCCGUCUGAUUAGCUAGUUGGAGGGGUAACUGCCCAACAAGGCGAUGAUCAGUAGCCGGUCUGAGAGGAUGAACGGCAACAUUGGGACUGAGAAACGGCGCAGGAUGCUACGGGAGGCAGCAGGGGGGAAUCUUCCGCAAUGGAGGAAAGUCGGACGGAGGAAAGAGGCGUGAGUGAUGACGGCAUUAGGGUUGUAAAGCUCAGUUAAUCGGGACGCGGUACAGGAAUAGAAAGCCACGGCUAACUACGUGCCAGAAGACGCGGUAAGAG
rnacentral:rRNA from 1 species